GCCGGAAACAACGGACCGGAGCGGACCUCUGGAAAGUGGGACAAGCGGAGCCUGAUCACCUCCAUAAUACAGCCGUUGCCUGUGUUAUUCUCCUGUUUUGUGUCGGUCUGCCUCCGAGUCCACUUCCGGCUUCCAGAAGGCUACUAGAGACAGGUAAUUAACUCAUCCGGUGUGCCUUUUUUUUAGGUGAACCUGUCAAUUGUCUAUCUGCCUCCUGUAUUCGUUUGUGUGCGUGUGUGUGCGUGUUUCUCAUACUUCUUUUAAGUUAGCUUGACUGCCUAGCGGGCAGGGG